rnacentral:tRNA from 1 species
GAUCGUAUAGUCUAAGAAAGAUAUUAAAUUGCAAAUUUAAUGAUAAACAAGUUUUUACGAUCU